CCUCGUGCUCUGACUCCAUUCGAACUCUCCCAAUCUUUGUGCGACACAACGUAAAUUACUGUUCUUGCCCAUUUCCGAAACCCUAGAUCCCCCUCUUAGUCAAUUUCAAGGUAAAAUUUACGAAAAUGUCUAUUUCUUUUAUUUUUUAAUCGAGGGUGUAUUUGGAAUUUAAUUACAGAUGGUGUCGGACGCAAGCAAGAAGAAGGCAGCGCAGAAGAAGGCGGCAGCGGCGGCCAAGAGAGGUGGCAAGGCCGCGGCUCCUGCCUCCUCAUCGAAGACGGCUGAAAAUGGAAGUAAAGUUGAUAAUUUGGCGAAUGAGGUCGAAGCGCUUCAGAUAUCCGAUCGGACAUGUACCGGAGUUCUGUGCUCUCAUCCGCUUUCCAGAGAUAUUCGGGUUAGUUGUCAGAUCCAAUUUCAGU
rnacentral:lncRNA from 1 species